rnacentral:rRNA from 1 species
CCAGCAAUUUGGAAGAAUGAAUAGCAAUAGCUAGUUGCAUAAUAUUGUGCAAUAUUGAUUAUAUCAAAUAAAGUUCUGAGUAAAUCUAGAUGAUGACUUAAUUUACUCACGUGUCUUGACUAAAAUGCGUGCCAGCAGUCGCGGUAAGACGUAUAAGACUAGUGUUAUUCAUCUUUAGCAGGUUUAAAGGGUACUUAGACGGUAAAUCAAGCCAUAGUAGGGACUAGUUUACUAGAGUUACUUAUAAAGGGGCUUUAAAGUACUAAUGGAGUAGAGAUAAAAUGCUAGUAUACCUUUUUUUGUAAAAAAAAACAAUGGCACUGAUAAAGGCGAAGGCAUCCCCUUAUGUGAUAACUGACGUUAAAGGACGAAGGCUUUGUGUUACGAACAGGAUUAGAUACCCUAGUAGUCAAAGCAGAGAAUGAUGAGUGUCAUAGAUUGGAAUAAGUUUAAUCUAUAAAUGAAAGUGUAAGCACUCCACCUUAAGAGUAAUGUGGCAACACCGAAAUUGAAAUCAUUAGACCGUUUCUGACNNNNNNNNNNNNNNNNNNNNNNUAAUUUGAUGAUCCGCAAAAAACCUUACCACAACUUGAAUAUUUAUAUUUUAAUAUAUUUACAAGCGUUGCACGGCUGUCUUAAGUUAAUGUCGUGAGAAUUUGGUUAGCUCCUUUAAAUUGACGUAAACCCUCGUUUUAUUUUUAUAUAGAACGGUUCACCGUUAUAUUGGAUAUGAUAAAAGGGAAGAAGACAAGUC